rnacentral:rRNA from 1 species
UACCAGCACCCCGAGUGGUCGGGACGAUUAUUGGGCCUAAAGCAUCCGUAAGCCGGCCUUACCAAGUCCUCCGUUAAAUCCAGCUGCUUAACAGAUGGGCUGCGGAGGAUACUAUAAGACUAGGAGGCAGGAGAGGCAAGCGGUACUCAGUGGGUAGGGGUAAAAUCCGUUGAUCCAUUGAAGACCACCAGUGGCGAAGGCGGCUUGCCAGAAUGCGCUCGACGGUGAGGAUGAAAGCUGGGGAGCAAACCGGAU